GACGAACGCUGGCGGCGUGCUUAACACAUGCGAGUCGAACGGAAAGGCCCUGCUUUUGUGGGGUGCUCGAGUGGCGAACGGGUGAGUAACACGUGAGUAACCUGCCCUUGACUUUGGGAUAACUUCAGGAAACUGGGGCUAAUACCGGAUAGGAGCUCCUGCUGCAUGGUGGGGGUUGGAAAGUUUCGGCGGUUGGGGAUGGACUCGCGGCUUAUCAGCUUGUUGGUGGGGUAGUGGCUUACCAAGGCUUUGACGGGUAGCCGGCCUGAGAGGGUGACCGGCCACAUUGGGACUGAGAUACGGCCAAGACUCCUCCGGGAGGCAGCAGUGGGGAAUAUUGCACAAUGGGCGGAAGCCUGAUGCAGCAACGCCGCGUGCGGGAUGACGGCCUUCGGGUUGUAAACCGCUUUCGCCUGUGACGAAGCGUGAGUGACGGUAAUGGGUAAAGAAGCACCGGCUAACUACGUG
rnacentral:rRNA from 1 species